rnacentral:misc_RNA from 1 species
CCUCCGUUGGUGAACCAGCGGAGGGAUCAUUACAGAGUUUUCACAACUCCCAACCCUUUCUAACCGUACCCAUUCUGGUCUCGUUGCUUCCGGCGCCGGGGACUUGGGGCCCCGAAACGCCUUCCCCGCCCCGCCCGCCGGGGGCGGCGGGCCCCACGCACCUGUAUAUCUCAACCCCCUGUAACCCUCCGAGAAUGCAAACAAAAUAACCAAAACUAUCAACAACGGAUCUCUUGGCUCUGGCAUCGAAGAAGAACGCAGCAGAUCGGAAGAGCACAC